rnacentral:lncRNA from 1 species
CCAAUUUUAUCCGUGCCGUACCAAAAAUAUAGCGUAGUGUAAACGGGGCUUAAGGCUACCCUAGAUGAGGCACUGCCAACCUAUUGUUGACCUUUUUUGCUGUUGAGCACUAUAUAACAUUUAGUGAAUCAAACUGUAGACAUUUUUAGCAUAAUUGCGUACGUGAUCAUGUAUUCACAAAACUUGUAAAUCAUAAUGUACAUUGUACAUAAAUUUUAAGCUACAUACAGUGUAUGUAUACAGCAGCUAUAAUUGCUUUGAAUUAAUGGUUGGAUAAGAACACAAGGUCUUGUACUCAUGGGACAAAACUCAAAGAAAUAAAAAUUAGAAAAUUUAAAAGAAAUAGUGUAUUUCUUUUAAAUUUUCUAAUUUUUAUUUCUUUGAGUUUUGUCCCAUGAGUACAAGACCUUGGUUUGUGUUCUUACCCAACCAUUAAUUCAAAGCAAUUAGAGCUGUCAGAUUACUACAAUACGUUAUAGCUAAUUUGAAAGAGUUCAGUUUUUUCCAUGCACACUGUAGAGGUUAGAAGUGCUUACGUCACACAAUGGACCAUUUGCAUUAUAAAUUAAAUUUUGAUCUAGACA